AUGAACGCUGGCGGCGUGCCUCAUACCUGCAAGUCGCGCGAACAGACGAGGAGCUUGCUCCUCUGACGUUAGCGGCGGACGGGUGAGUAACACGUGGAUAACCUACCUAUAAGACUGGGAUAACUUCGGGAAACCGGAGCUAAUACCGGAUAAUAUAUUGAACCGCAUGGUUCAAUAGUGAAAGACGGUUUUGCUGUCACUUAUAGAUGGAUCCGCGCCGCAUUAGCUAGUUGGUAAGGUAACGGCUUACCAAGGCAACGAUGCGUAGCCGACCUGAGAAGGUGAUCGGCCACACUGGAACUGAGACACGGUCCAGACUCCUACGGGAGGCAGCAGUAGGGAAUCUUCCGCAAUGGGCGAAAGCUUGACGGAGCAACGCCGCGUGAGUGAUGAAGGUCUUCGGAUCGUAAAACUCUGUUAUUAGGGAAGAACAAAUGUGUAAGUAACUAUGCACGUCUUGACGGUACCUAAUCAGAAAGCCACGGCUAACUACGUG
rnacentral:rRNA from 1 species